rnacentral:lncRNA from 1 species
GCCGGCACCCCGAGUUCUAGUCUCAUUUGGGGAGCCGGAUUCUGUCCCAGUUGCUCCUCUUCCAGGCCAGCUCUCUGCUGUGACCCAGGAAGGCAGUGGAGGAUGGCCCAGGUGCUUGGGCCCUGCACCCGCAUGGGAGACCAGAAGGAAGCACCUGGCUCCUGGCUUUGGAUCAGCGCAGCGCCAGCCUUAGUGGCCAUUUUGGGGUGAACCAAUGGAAGGAAGACCUUUCUCUCUCUGUCUCUCUCUCUCUCUCUCUCUCUGUCUAACUCUGCCUGUCAAAAAAAAAAAAAAAAAAAAAAGCAUACUGCAGCUUCAAGAUGGAAUGCAUCUCUGUGUAUGUCCAAGCAUCCUACGGUCAUGUGGCAUCAGGUUCUGGCUCAGAGCCGCUGCCAAUUAAGAACAAUUAAGGGCAGGAACCUGAAGCAGAUCCCCCGGCUGCUGGGGAGAGGGGAGGGGGCUCGGGUGGGAGGGAGGCACUGCCCUUCCACAGCCUGGCCUCUGUGUGCUUUUGUUACCUGUUUUUGCACAGCGCUUCUGGAAGCCACAGUUACACCUAAAGGAAUCACCAGUCCUUUCUUUGCUUUGUCGAGGGUCCUGUCCCUGUGGAGGGCUCCUGGGGGUGCCCUGUGCCCCCCAGGCCCCAGCACAUGCUCGGUGAGUGUGGCUCGGAAUCUCCCCGCCCCCUUGCGCAUUGCUACCACUUUUCCCCACUUUCUCUUUUGCCCUCCGCCCUGCCAACAGGAAGACCCAGAGGUCCGGCCCCAUCCAGAGCUACAGUUGUGUCUCUUCUUGUUCUAAGACCACGACGUCAUGCUUGGUGCCUGGCACUCGGUCCUGGCCCACCUGCAGGCACCUGAGCUCUGACUGCCCCCAGCAGGUGCUCCGGCGUUGCUAGCCCCAGGUCUCAGCAGAGCAGCAGCCCAGCCGGGCCGUGCAGACCUGGGGAAGGCACCCGUGUGAAGCCGGAUUCAGGCCAGAGCCCUGGUGGUGGUGGUGCGGAGGGGUGGGGCUUGCAGAGAGCUCAGCCGACUUCGGUGACCACCCGUGCGACAAGCCCUGCACCACGGGCGGGCCUCGGCCAGCUCCCUGCCCAGAGCCCCUUCCACACCUCCCUCUUGGGAUCCUCCCACGGCCCGUGCCGAUUCCCAGGCCCACCCCCAGCGCACUAGGCUCAGGCCAGUGCGUCAGCCGCCUCCACGCUCUGAGGGCAAAGCCGGACUCUCUCCUGCUGCCCGGCGACGCAGGGGCCUGCCCCUGCGCUCCCCUAAAGGUGGCAAGAGCAGAGGCCCAGAAGCUUCCAGAAAGUGGUGACCCCCAGGGAGCGAGGGCUGCGGCUCGCUUCAUGCUUGUGGGCCUUGGGGUCACUUCCUGGGGGACCCCGCGGUGCUCUCUGCUGACGCAGGCCUCGGACAAGCCAGGAGCUUCCUGUGAGACAGCGCCCAGCAUUGCCGUCAUCUGGCCUCCCACGCAGGCCCAGGCUCCGAGCUCCUCUCACCUCCUCCCGGCUCUCCCUCCCACUUGCCUGGACGUCACGGGCCCCGAUGCUCCUCCCAUGUCCCCGUGGGCUGCACACGCAGCAGCCGCGGGGGUCAUCGGAUGGCGUCUGUCCUUGGCUUAGAGCCCAUCAGCUAUUUCCCUAUGUCCUGUGGAGCAGAGCGCAAGUCCUCCUGGGCCCCCAAAGGCCCCACCCUGGCCGCUUGCAGUGGCUCCUCCCACUAUCCCACUAACUCCCCCCCCCCCCCACUGUUCCCAGGGCCUUUGCACUUGCUGCCUCCUGUGGCUCCGCCCUCUCCAGCUCUUUGCUGAGAUGGCACCUCCCCUGUGAACUUCUCCCUAACCACCUGUUGACAGUUCAGCCUCUGUCACCCCUCACUCGCUGCCCUCUCCCCGCCCCUGGCCCAGCUUGGCUCUUCUCUCUCACCACCACCCCCUGCCGCAGUAGCUGUCUGACCCCUCCCACCGGGACAGCAGCUGUCCACUGGGGUGUCCCUGGCCCCUGCAAUGCCGUUGGCAGACAGCAGGUGCUCAAUGAGGACUUCUAGCUGGGCGUCCCUGUCUGCACCCAGGUGGCCUUGGGUCUGCAGGGCUAGAUGAGGGCAGCACUGUGUCGGGCAUUUCUGGACCAGAGUCAGGCGGGGGGAGCUCCUUACUCCUAAAGCGUCUCCGUGUUUACUUGUCACAAGGCUUCCACGUCCACGUGAGCACCCAUCCUUGGGGCUUAACUCAUUCUUUUUUAAGUUAAUUAAUUAAUCCAAGAGGCAGAGUUACAGACAGAGAGAGAGAGAGAGAGAGAGAGAGAGAUAUCUUCCAUCCAUCAGAUGGUUCACUCCCCAGAUGGCUGCAAUGGCUGAGGUUGGGCUGAUCCAAAGCCAGGAGCCAGGAGCCAGGCCGGUUCGAGUCCCGGCUGCUCCAUUUCCUAUCCAGCUCUCUGCUAUGGCCUGGGAAAGCAGUAGAAGCUGGCCCAAGUCCUUGGGCCCCUGAACCUGCGUGGGAGACCUGGAAGAAGCUCCUGGCUCCUGGCUUCAGAUCAGCUCAGCUCUGGCCAUUGCGGUCACUUGGGGAGUGAACCAGUGGGUGGAAGACCUCUCUCUCUGGCGCGCUCUCUCUCUCUCUCUCUCUCUCUCUCUGGCUCUACCUUUUUCUGUAAUUCUGUCUUGCAAAUAAAUAAAAUAAACCUUGAAAAAAUAUAUAUAUA